AUUAGCUUGGUUUUUUAAAAAAGCAAUGUUCUUGUUUUAUCUUUCAGCCCCAGAACUUGCCAGUCAAGAUGAAAAACUUCUUCUAAUGGAAUCCAGCUUGAAAGCUACUCAAGAGCAGCUAACUGAGCAAAUAGCAGAAACAGUUCGCCAAGAACAGAACAGUAGAAAACCCCAGGCAGAGCUGAAGACAGUGACAGAAGGGAUUAUUGCUUCUGAAGAAGAAAAAAAAUGAUUACAAAAUCACCUAUUUUACCGUCUUUUACAACUUCGUUGUAGGAGGUGUGAAAGAGGAGGGAAAUUGUGUUGUUUGAUGGAGAGACUCAAAUUAACAAAGAACUGUGGAAUAUUUCUAGCCAAAAGCCACUGGGGAACUGAUUCCUGCCAACAACCACUGAACUUCGAAGUAGAUCCAUCAGCAACUGGACCCUCAGAUGCGACCCAUGUAUGACACCUUGAUUGGGAUCCUGUGAGAGACCCUCAGGCAGAGCACCUAGUUAAGUCAAACUCAGAUCGCUGACUCCCAGAAACUGUAAGCACUCUCCUGCAUACCUGUCACCAAACCUCCAGGUCAAUCUCACAUUUACUCUUGAAGAAAUGGAGUCGAAGAUGAAAUAGAAAAUAAUUAGAUUGUGAUAAAUGUUUUGGAGGAAAAUAGAAAGAAGGCUGUGGUUUGAAACGUCUCAACAAACUUCCAAUCAUGCAAAACUUGAGGGAACGAGGAACAGCAAAGCUUGGCACUUUGGAAGCUUGAUAACAUCACAGCAUGGAAGAAAAGUGGAAGGAAGUUAUCACAAAGGAAUAACAAACAACGUGCUCUCCUUAAGCCAUCCUGACUACUCUAACAUCCUGCUUCCACUAAAAAUACUGACGGCCAAAUUCACAAAUAAGAGACAAGAUGGAAACUGAUUGAUUUCAC
rnacentral:lncRNA from 10 species